AAGACCUAUCCCUUUCAAAUGAAAACAGAAAGAGUCAUUUCUGCCCAGCUCAUCUUAGCACUUCUCGCUGAUAUUUUCUACAGUGGGCUUUCCUUUGUGCUUUCUGAUUUCUUUCUGUUUUUUAAUCUGUAAUAAGAACAUCUAUGUGCAUUUCAAUGUCAACAUCAUAGGCAUGGAAGAGGCUUAGAUCUCUGUUUCCACAGCUGAUGAUGAGGCUGUAUUUGUGCUAACUGAUUCCAAGCCUGCAAUGCUAUCUGAGCAAAGCAUUUAACCACCUGCAACAGUUUAAAGUCGUGUACAGUUAAAAGGCUUUGACUUCCCGUGGCUCUGGUAUAAUUCAUUUCUGACAAAUAAAUAACAACAUAUGAGGAAGAGACUUAUUUAUUGUUAUGGGAAGGGGUGGACCUUCUGGAAACUGAUGGAUGUAACAACCACCCUUCAAUGGAGACAACUUAAGAAACUAUUAUACUAUUUUAUGGAAAUAUUCUACUCAAACAUCAGAGACCUCCUCAAAAGCACAGCUCUGACAGGUUGUUCAGAUACUUGUCUAUGGAAAGAGGAUUUUGGAUGUUUUAGUGGAGGUAUCUGUGUCUGAGGAUCAAUCUAGCCAUGAAAGAUGAGCAUGAACUCAACCAUAGCACUGCCACCACAGUCCAGGCAUUUUCCAAUCCUGAUGUCACCAACCAGUUUAUUUGCAUUGGUGAGUAUGAUGUCAUCUGUCAGCCUGCCCUGGGACACAGUCACAGUGCAGCUCUUAAAGGAAGACAAGGACCAGCAGGAUGCCAAGGUGAUGGUGAACAUUUUGUUUUUUUAAUUUAGGCCCGGGGCUCCCAGCACAAGAAAGAACUGUUGGAGUGGGUCCAGAUGAGGGCCACAAAGAUGAUCAGAGGGCUGGAGUACCUCUCUUGCAAAGAAAGGUUGAGGGAGCUGGGCUUGUUCAGCCUGAAGAGAAGGCUCUGGGUAGACCUCAUUGCAGCUUUCCAGUACCUAAAGGGAGCUUAUAAACAGGAGGGAGACUGACUUUUUACAUGUUAUAAUAGUGAUAGGACAAGGGGAAUGUAUUUAAACUAAAAGAGGGGAGACAGAUUAGAUGUUCAGAAGAAAUUUUACUCGGAGAGUAAAAAAAUAAAUAAAAUUGAGAGGUUAUGGAUGCUCCACCUCUGGAGGCAUUCAAGAUCAGGUUGGAUGGGGCCCUGGGCAGCCUGAUCUAAUGAGUAGCAACCCUGCCCACAUCAGGCGUAGGAAGUGGAUGAUCUUUGAGGUCCCUUCCAACCAAAACCAUUCUAUGAUUCUGUGGUGGAUUUCUACUAGCAGUAUCACUAUUUCCCAUUCAGUAUGUUUGUGCUGUUUCCUUUCUUUCCACACAUAUCUCCUUCACAAGAUAGUUAUUCCCCUAUUCCUUCUGACAUUUACUCUCCAGUACUCAUUUUUCGCUGACUUCUACAUUACUGUUAAUAAACAUUCUCUGUAACAAGCCCAUUUUGGGAGGUGUCCAAGCUAUAGAUAAUUUUCCUUUGUAGGGAUUUGUAUUACAUUUAACAAGCUUACUAGCAAGCUCAGCUUUACCCAUGCAUGAAAUUUUAGAAGACAGAGUUAGAAGCAGAAGAAAGUGUGUAUUUCAUUCACAAAAUCAUGUGAGAAAAAAAUUCUUAUCUUGAUCACAUCAUGGUGAAUCCAGAGUAACCUCACUGAAGUCAAUGGAGCUACGCUAGCAUGAAAUAAAUACACCACUGGGGCUAUACGAAUCCCAGAUAACUCACCUUAGCUCUUUAAAACUCAAAAACUACCUAUAUGCAAAUAAAUUAAUUUGCACCAGGGAAGGUUUUAUAACAACUGAAUUCAAUCAUCUUCUUGUAUUGUUGGAACAGACCCUGGCAUAGUUUUUAAUACAAAAUAACACUCUCCCAGAAUAGUUCUCUGCUGAGUGCGGUUCAGGAGCACAAGCCAGAGACCAUGCUCAGUUUGAGUGCAGACACCUGGUUAGGAGGAUAAAAUGUUUAAUUGCAUGGACAAAGGCCAUUCCAUACCAGCUGGCCUCUGUGUCAGAAAACUGUCGCAAACACACUUGAUUUAAUUGUGUCUAUGGUAUAAAUGGUGGUUUCCCACAGCCAGCCCAUUGUUUCAUACUAAGGUCUGAUCUCCAUUGCACAUUUACUAGUUCACUGAGACUCCAUGCUGGAUUAAAAAAAUAAUGAAAAAAAAAAUUUGUCCUGGUAAGCACAGCUCAGUGCAGACCUGAGAAUAAUCCACAGCUGAGAAUAAUUGCAUCCCUAGGUGCAAUGUUAAGUCACGUGUGUGGGCUAACCUGCACUUCUUCACCAAAAAACAUUUGGAAACCAUACAGUGUCAGUGCCGAAGACAGGAUAGGUACUAGUGAAUGGAUUCCUCUUCAGCUGGUGAGGGCAAGAGUCAGGAACAGGUUCCUCCUGACCACCAGGAAGAACACAGAAUCAUAGAAUCAUAGAAUGGCCUGGGUUGAAAAGGACUACAGUACUCAUCUAGUUUCAACCCUUCUGCUAUGUGCAGCGUCGCCAACCACUAGACCAGGCUGCCCAGAGCCAUAUCCAGCCUGGCCUUGAAUGCCUCCAGGGAUGGGGCAUCCACAACCUCCUUGGGCAACCUGUUCCAGCACCUCACCACACUCUGGGUGAAAAACUUCCUCCUAAUAUCUAGCCUAAACCUCCCCUUUCUCACUUUAAGACCAUUCCCCCUUCUCCUAUCACGAUCCACUCUCGUAAACAGCUGUGCCCCCUCCUGUUUAUACGUUCCCUUCAAGUCAUGGAUGGCCGCAAUGAGGUCUCCCUGGAGCCUUCUCUUCUCCAAGCUAAACAGGCUCAGUUCCCUCAACCUUUCCUCAUAGGAGAGGUGACCUGUGGAACAGCAGUCAGACUCACAAGAGUCAGAAUGUAAGGUAGUUUUUUAAGGUGUAUACACCGGCACAUGGGUGGGCUCACAGUGCCCCAGCUGCACAACUAGUGGCUCUCAAGCAGUCAUAUUUAUACCACACAAUAUGCACAGUCAUAAUUCUGCAAAGCAAGUAAUGCUAACUCAUUCUAGACAGUGGGUCAUCCAAUGCUAACUAAUUCCGUGAAUGUCUUCUUGUUUUUCACUCCUUCUUGGACACGCGCUGUGUAUAGUCAGGUCUUUUUGAAUAUGAUUUCUUCUGUGGUGAUUGGCCCGGUUUCUUAUCUGAAGGCUUCAGAUCUGGAAUUCCAAGAGCUUCCUCCUUUGCAGUGUGCUUUUGAUAAGCAAAAGCUUUCCCCCUUUCUACCUAACUCCUCCCAAGUACUGCCUAUUUCAAGUAAACCACUUCCCAAACUCCACCUCUGAAGUAAGGGUUCUUCCCCCCUUUAAUUUCUUAGAAGGGGAUCCCCCCUGUACUGACACAGGGGAUCCCCUGUACAUGCACAGGGUCCCCCCCUGUACAGGGACCAGCCUAGGGUCUCUGCCUUCACUCAGAGGUGCUCCAGCCCUCUGAUCAUCUUCGUGGCCCUCCUCUGGAUGUGCUCUAAGAGCUCCGUGUCCUUCCUGUACUGGGGGCCCCAGGCCUGGAUGCACUACUGCAGAUGGGGCCCCACAAGCAUCGAGUAGAUGGGGACAAUCACCUGUGGGACAAAGAAAGUCAUUACCUUGCAAAUGAGUAAAGAGGCUUGGUAGCUACUUGCGCCAGACGUAAACACGCACAAGACGCCUGGUUGGUACAUGUGACUAAGGGGUUGUUGCACGGGUAUAAAAGGUUGUAAGCACAUACAAUACAGGUCUUCAUUCUGCACCAGCAGCGGAGUCUGUGACUCCUCUGCCACAAAUGGUGCCCAAACAGGGACCCUGUAUCAGGGUCAGCCUCAGGAUAUAAUCAGCUAUCAAGCUGACCACUGGCAAAGAAUUAGGUCUGCUGAAUGGAAGUUGGACCCGAAAACUGCUGAAAGGAAGCAGAAAUCAGAGGUGCUGAGAGGAAGCACAACCCAAGGGCUGCUGAAAGGAAGUUGGACCUGCAAACUGCUGAGGGGAAGCAGGACCAGGCUGCCCAUCCAGAAUCACUUCUGCAGGACAAAGGUGAGCAACGGGGAACAAUGGGAACAGGCAUAACAAAGGAGCAGGAGGCGGUUUGCAAAACAAUAGAAACAAUUUUGCAGAAGCACCACUCUAAAGUGGAAAGCUUCAAUUUAAGGCAACUUUUCCUGUGAGUCUCUUGUAAUGUAGAAGGAGUAGAUGGGGCUAUGACCUAUGACAUAGAAACGUGGGGCAAAGCCAGAGUGGGACGCAGCUACAUGCUCUGACCCUGUGGUUAAAGACCCUCUGGGGCCUUGAAGAUCGGUAUUUGAAUCACUAAAAAAACAUGUGGAAUCCACCAUCCCAAUAGAGCCCACUGCUCCUCCUAUGGUGGAAGCCGCUGUCACCCCCUGAUCCACAUGAUGUUUGGCAUGCGAUCCGCAAAGAAGCGGAGCAGGAGGGGGAUUUUGGCAUGAUCCAGAGGUUGCAUUCAGCUCUUGCCUGCCCUGUAAUUUAUGAACCUAAUAAGCACCCGACAUGGGAGGGUAUAAGCUUACAAACAAUAAAAGAGCUCAGGAAAGCGGUUCUUGAAUUUGGGCUGGACUCCCCCUAUACCAGUAAUCUGUUGAGCUCUGUUAUGAAAAGUUACACUCUUUGUCUUCGUGAUUGCAAGACCUUGGCACAAUUGAUUUUAAUCAUUACUCAAUACAUGAUGUGGAUGGGCUUUUGGAGAGAAUCUGCAUAAUAAAAGGUGCUGGAGUGGAAGCUAUUGGAGCUCAGCAACUCAGAGCAGAGCAUGCAGACCCCAAGCCAUAGCUCGUUCACCACCACAAGAGAAGGAGGAUCAAACCUCCAGUCUUGGUGAUUGUCAGCGCGUGGGAGCUGGAGCUAUGGAACACUGCUGUUCAGAUGUAUGCUGGUGUUUGGAGUCUCACUCAUUCCAGCUGUUGGCAUUGUUGCAGUGUAUUUUUCUGAACCUUUUAGCUGCUGUAGCAGUUGUUCAGUGCUCCAGAAAAUUCUAAGGUAGGCCACACAACAUUGAACGUAUGUUUGAAAGUUGUGCUGUGUCUGCAUUCUAAAUUAGAAAACAGUAUUUGCUAUAAAAUGGCAUGCAUUCAUGUGCAGUAGAUUGGCAAUGUAGGAAGUUUUCUCAUAUUUGGUUGACUGGCUGAAUAUCUUCUGGUGUUUAAGAAUGUAAUAUGUAUACUUACAACUGUAUGUCUUACCUGCACCUGCCUGGCUUUCAUAAUUCUAGUUCUGAAUAUGUAAUUUCAGUGAUUUAAAAAAAAAUAAUAAAAGACUUCCCUACAAACAAAAAAAAAAAAAACAAAAAAAAAAAGGGGGAGUGCAGGUAUGACCCCUGAGGAAAGAAUAGCUAAAGCAUGCUAUGUUCCUAAUGUUUUAAAUUUUUGGACAAUUAUAAUGUUGGGAAGAGUUUAUGCUUGUGUUUCCACAGGUGCUGGAGCGGGUUCCAGCCAAAGGCAUAAAGCCUUGCUUGACUGUACCAUUAACAUCUCCUGCUGCUUCUUCAGAUUUGUGACAACCUUUGGGGUUCCAAAGCCUAGGGAGGCAACCAGAUAGUGGAUUCUACAGCCAAUAUCUCAGCGUAAAGCAGUGUGACAACUACCUCAGAAAAAUCUUGAUUUUAGGGGCAAAAGCUGCAUGUCAAAAAUUCAUGGUUUAGUUUGUUGGGUGUUAUCAAGGUUUGGGACCAUGGGUCUGAGAGAUCAUGCAGAUUGAUGUGGUUUUUUCUUCUGUUGUUUUUGCAUGUUUGUUGGUAUAUAAUCUUUAUAUUAAUACCAAAUGCUUGUUGCUCAAAUUAAUAAGGAAGGGGCACAAUCACCUGUGGGACAAAGAAAGUCACUACCUUGCAAAUGACUAAACAAGCUUGGUAGCUACUUGCACCAGACAUAAACACGCACAAGGUGCCUGGUUGGUACAUGUGGCUAAGGGGUUGUUGCAUGGGUAUAAAAGGUUGUAAGCACGUACAGCAAAGGUCUUCAUUCUGCACCAGCAACGGAGUCCAUGACUGCUGGCCACCCCUUUUGUAAUGCAGCCCAGAACACAGUUGGCCUUCUGGGAUUCAAGCACACACUGCUGGCUCAUGUCCAGCUUCUCAUCCACCAGGACCCCCAGGUCCUUCUCCGCAGGGCUGCUCUCAAGGAGAUUUUCCCCCAGUCUGUAUAAACACCUGGGACUGCACUUGGCCUUACUGAACCUCAUUAGGUUCUUAUGGGCCCAACAUAACAGGACUGGGACAGGAGUUACUGAGUCUCUGAGUCUUGUGCUCUGCUACCACUGAGAAUUGUACCACCUACUUUGUCUCAUCCCACUCAAUAAGUUUUGAGGGAGGUGAAUCUUUUUCUAUCCCCCGAAUAGCACCUCCCCUUGUCAGCAAGGGAUCACUACCACAAUGGAGUCAUCCAAGACUCAGAGGAAUAAUCAUCAAUUAUUCCUCGAUAAACAUCAAUUAUCAUCAAUAAACAUCAAUUUAUUGAGAGCUUUCUUAACAACAACUAACAACAACUACUUGAAGGUAAAAUUGGCUAAUUGGCUAAUUACAAUUAAUAAGCAUUACAGGUAAGACAAUUUUAGGUAAUGACUACUACAAAGAGUAAAAGAAUAAAAGAAAAUAAGUGAAAAGAUAGGAAACGAGGAAAGAGACAGACAAACAGAUACGCAAACACAGCAAAACAAAGCGGUUCACCACUCUUUGAUCCAGCGAUGUCUUGGUGUCAGGUGCUGAUCUUCAGUAAUGGCUGGUCGUUCAACCUUGUGUUGUUCAGUUGAUGACAGUACAAGCUGUUACUUAUAGUUUGAAGUGGCCAAGCCAGCUCUUUUGGAGUGACAACUUCUGGCUUCGGAAUCUCAGCAGGAACUCCUUUGUUCCUGUCUUCCCAGCAUUGCAAAUUUAAGUCAGCAGAUAAAAGGAAACAGAGAGAGGCCAGCUUGUAAAUUGCCUGCACAGGAUACAAUGGUACCAUCUUCUAUUCUCUAGUAUCAAGCUGGUUUCAUCUGCUCCCAGGCCAAGACUUCAGCCAAUAAACACUCCUGAGCUCUCCCUUUCGAAGGCAAACAACUACAAAGAAAUGCUUUCAAAUGUACAACUGUCCACAAAGUGAUGUUGAUUGCCACAUGUUGAUUUGAGACACUCCUUACCAGUUUCAGACAUCCCUUCAUAAAGUUUUGAAGUUCUUCCCAGCACCAUCCUCUACUCUCCCGCAACGUGUCUCCCACAACACAGUCAGAGAAGAAGUGCUGUACCAGGUCUCAGCUGGCUAGAGGUAUCAACUCCCAGGAAUUCAGCACUUCCCACCCAUUGCAGGCAAAUGAAAAUCUUAAUGUCCUGAAGGCUUAAUUUUUUUAAACCUGUAAGUAUCGACUCUCUUUUACUCAUUGUAUUUACUUUCAUAUACAAGGACUGCUCCUGUUUUAUUAUGUUGACCCAUGACUUCAGAGGCUGGCAUCUGACACAGAAGUGCAUAUGAAGAAAAGGUGCCACUGAGUUCUUCCAUACAGAAGAAUCACGCACACUGACAUUCACUGACACAUGCUGAAUGCUGAUGGAGACCAAAAAGUGGGUGAGCAUAGUGAGGUGCUGGGUGGUACAUUUCAGCAGUGGCAACAGUGACAGUGGGUCAACUCCACUUGGUGUUGAUAGUCAUGAGCAUACCAUGCAGGCCCUUGUUCAUCUCUGGCAAAAAUGCACAGCUAAUGGCAGUGACUGUGUUGAAGAACAGUGUUUUGUAGCUGUGAAUUUGCACUACCAAGCAGUGUUAUUUUGCUCUUUGUAUCUGUUGUAAUUUCAAGGGGAAUAAAUAGGAAGCAUUACUUUCAGUGACAUACAUAAUUGAAUGUUGUCUUACAUAUCAUAACAACCAAAAAUGAUCUAAUUAUGUAUGUUUUCUUGGUGUUACAAACUUCCUAUUCCAGGUAGACUGAAGGACUUGAAGUUAUCUCACACUUGUUGAUAAUUUACAGUCUCUUAUUUAAGUAUUUCUCCCAAGAAACAGUACAUAAUGUUAGUUAACAAGCGCUCACAGUAAACCACCCUAAGAGAAAGAUAAGGACAAGUGAAUGAAGUAAUAAAUCAGUCAUUAUUGUAAAUUAUCAGUUUCCAUCGUACAGUAUUAUUGCUUUAUUGACCCCAACAUAAAGAUUUAUCACAGGAGGGUUUUCUCUUUUUUUUUUUUUUUUUUUUAAUGUUGUUAUAGGACAUAGACUUGUAAUACAGAAGGGUGCAGUUUAGCUUAUGCUUCUCUUUUUUAUUAUUUUUAAUUUCAUGUAGAACUUGCAGUGGACAAAAAUGAAAAAGUGGGACCCACUAUAUAUGAGGAUAGAAAUAGUCAUUUUUGUGGAGUGGAAGCAGGAUAGUAGGCACUGAGGAGGGGUGGAACCAAUGGGAUGCUUUUUGUUUGCCUCAGAGCUGUGAUGCAAACACAACAAUAAUGAGGCUCUAGACACAAAACUAAUUCUGAGAGAUGAAGGGGGUACAACCUUUAACUCCACUUCCACUGUUCUCCAAGUUAUUUCUACCUCUCCCAAUUCCCACCAAUAAAAGCUCACUGUUACAGUACCCUCAUAUUGGCUGCAGAUCUAGUUUCAUUGUUAAUUCCUCUACUGUUUCCAUCACACUGAUAUCAGUUCCAGUUCAUGAAAUAAAUUGGCUUAUUUUGAUUAACACUAGAAAGAUGUCACAUACAUCUGUACUGGAAAAUAUGAUAUGGAACAUAAACUAAAGCAAGGAUGUUACUGAACAAAUUAAGACUGGAAAGCUAGGGGUUGUCUUCUGAGGAAUGUGGGAAUGUUCUCUGUCAACUGCAGCAGAAGUGAAAGAGUUUGUAUGGGGUAGGGAGUGGGGGGAUCCAGGAUGUGCAGUUUUGGGAGGGCCUCCCAGGCUAUUUGCAAGGGAAAAGAACACAGUGUAAAAGAGAAUUGAGCCUGAGAAUGGAGAGAAAAUCUAUAGCAGCAAAUGCUUCUUGGUGAAGCACGCCUUCAGAUUUAGUGCUUAUCCAGCUCUUGGCUGGUUCAUCACGAAUUAAAGCUAGACCAGCCACAACUACUUCAAAAAGCUGCUGUACUGUGCUUUGUCUGAAAGAGGGAGAAUUAACACACUAAAUCUGUCCUUUCACAGACCUAACAACAGGACUUAGGGAAGUGGUCAACACACUGGCAGGC
rnacentral:lncRNA from 1 species